CUGGAUGCGUGGAAGGCCGCUCCCGCCUCGCGGCGGGGGAGGAAAGUCCGAGCACCACUGGGCUGCGGUGGUGGGUAACACCCACCGCCCCGGUUGCCGGCUGGUCCGGCUGACCGGGGUAGGGAAAGUGCCACAGAAAAUACACCGCCCCUUCGGGGGUAAGGGUGAAAAGGUGCGGUAAGAGCGCACCGCGGCGUCCGUGAGGCCGCCGGCACGGCAAACCCCGCCGGGUGCAAGGCCAAGCAGCGACGAUGGUGUGGCCCAGAACGGUUGAGUCGCGGGUAGGCCGCUUUCCCUACGGGGAAGAGCCCGUCCGCAAGGGCGGGUCCAGAUAAAUGGUCUUCGCCUCUGUCGCGGUGGCCCGCCGCGACAAGGGAACAGAACUCGGCUUAUAACGCAUCCGGUCGG
rnacentral:RNase_P_RNA from 1 species